rnacentral:rRNA from 1 species
UACGUAGGGACCAAGCGUUGUUCGGAUUUACUGGCGUAAAGGGCGCGUAGGCGGCGUGUUAAGUCAGCUGUGAAAUCUCCAAGCUUAACUUGGAACGGUCAGCUGAUACUGAUGUGCUAGAGUGCAGAAAGGGCAAUCGGAAUUCUUGGUGUAGCGGUGAAAUGCGUAGAUAUCAAGAGGAACACCUGAGGCGAAGGCGGGUUGCUAGGCUGACACUGACGCUGAGGCGCGAAAGCUAGGGUAGCAAACGGG